AUUGAACGCUGGCGGCAUGCCUUACACAUGCAAGUCGAACGGCAGCACGGGUGCUUGCACCUGGUGGCGAGUGGCGAACGGGUGAGUAAUGCAUCGGAACGUACCCGGAAGUGGGGGAUAACGUAGCGAAAGUUACGCUAAUACCGCAUAUUCUGUGAGCAGGAAAGAGGGGGAUCGCAAGACCUCUCGCUUUCGGAGCGGCCGAUGUCGGAUUUGCUAGUUGGCGGGGUAAAGGCCCACCAAGGCAACGAUCCGUAGCGGGUCUGAGAGGAUGAUCCGCCACACUGGGACUGAGACACGGCCCAGACUCCUACGGGAGGCAGCAGUGGGGAAUUUUGGACAAUGGGCGCAAGCCUGAUCCAGCCAUGCCGCGUGAGUGAAGAAGGCCUUCGGGUUGUAAAGCUCUUUCGGCUGGGAAGAAAUCGCAUCUCCUAAUACGGGGUGUGGAUGACGGUACCAGCAUAAGAAGCACCGGCUAACUACGUGCCAGCCGCCGCCGUAAGAC
rnacentral:rRNA from 1 species